GAAGAGUGACAAGCGUCGUUUUGCCUAUCAAAAUAAAAUAAACCUCUUCAAAAAUAAAAUAAAUAAAUAAAAAGGUAGAAUAGUGGAAGAGGGUCGAUCCACAGGGAGUUUAAUGGAAUUCUUGAUUAAAUUUCUUGUUCUCGACCUAGGAGCUAAAAUAGAAAAUAAAAAAGAGGUGAUUUGAGAAGUAACAAGAAAAUAAAAUAAACAAGUAAAAUUGCAAGAAAGAUGUAUUAAGAUAGAAGCAAUAAAAUAAAGAAGAUGAAAGAUUAAGUUGA
rnacentral:lncRNA from 1 species